rnacentral:rRNA from 1 species
UAAUACGAAGGGGGCUAGCGUUGUUCGGAUUUACUGGGCGUAAAGCGCACGUAGGCGGAUCUUUAAGUCAGGGGUGAAAUGCCGGAGCUCAACUUCGGAACUGCCUUUGAUACUGGAGAUCUUGAGUUCGAGAGAGGUGAGUGGAACUGCGAGUGUAGAGGUGAAAUUCGUAGAUAUUCGCAAGAACACCAGUGGCGAAGGCGGCUCACUGGCUCGAUACUGACGCUGAGGUGCGAAAGCGUGGGGAGCAAACAGG